AAGAAAAGUCUUCGACUAAGUUUCGAGAGCAGUUUUAUUCUGAUGACGAAUAGCUUCAAAGCUCUUAGUCUGUCUUCUCAAAUUAUUGGCCUCUAUUCUUUUACUCCAAGUUUACACAAUCGAGUGAUUCCUAAGGUUUAAUCAACAGGGAUUCGACGGAACCACCGUAUGGACUGGAGUGUCCGCAGGGACAGCUAACUAUCUAACCCGAAGCUCAGGGUUAUAUGACUUCUAGAAUUUUGAAAAUUGUUAAACCAAUGAAUUUUAGGAAAGGUGUGUAAACUUACAU